rnacentral:rRNA from 1 species
UACAGAGGGUGCAAGCGUUGUUCGGAAUUAUUGGGCGUAAAGCGCGUGUAGGCGGCAUUGCAAGUCGGAUGUGAAAGCCCUCGGCUUAACUGAGGAAGUGCACCCGAAACUGGAUAGCUAGAGUACGAAAGAGGGUCGCGGAAUUCCCGGUGUAGAGGUGAAAUUCGUAGAUAUCGGGAGGAACACCGGUGGCGAAGGCGGCGACCUGGGUCGAGACUGACGCUGAGGCGCGAAAGCGUGGGGAGCAAACAGG